rnacentral:rRNA from 1 species
GAUGAACGCUGGCGGCGUGCCUAAUACAUGCAAGUCGAGCGAACGGACGAGAAGCUUGCUUCUCUGAUGUUAGCGGCGGACGGGUGAGUAACACGUGGAUAACCUACCUAUAAGACUGGGAUAACUUCGGGAAACCGGAGCUAAUACCGGAUAAUAUUUUGAACCGCAUGGUUCAAAAGUGAAAGACGGUCUUGCUGUCACUUAUAGAUGGAUCCGCGCUGCAUUAGCUAGUUGGUAAGGUAACGGCUUACCAAGGCAACGAUGCAUAGCCGACCUGAGAGGGUGAUCGGCCACACUGGAACUGAGACACGGUCAAGACUCCUACGGGAGGCAGCAGUAGGGAAUAUUCCGCAAUGGGCGAAAGCCUGACGGAGCAACGCCGCGUGAGUGAUGAAGGUCUUCGGAUCGUAAAACUCUGUUAUUAGGGAAGAACAUAUGUGUAAGUAACUAUGCACAUCUUGACGGUACCUAAUCAGAAAGCCACGGCUAACUACGUG